ACAGGCUGUCAUCCCAAGUGGCUGGCUUUUCUGUCCCCAGACUGAUCUGUUCCAUACUACAGUUGAUAGAUUGUUCCUAUUCCCUGACCCGACAUCUGUGCCUGGCUCUGAGAAUCCUUCUAAUCUCCUUUAUUAAGAUAACUCUGUGUAUGGCCUGACAUUCUGAAAUACCCACUUCUUCACCCUUACUCCAAUUUGAAGCACUACAUCCUGGAUCUUCUAUAUGUGUUGGUCUUUGAGAAGGUGGUUUUCCUAGAGCUUGAGUGCACAAAGAGUUAAGUUGUAGAGGACAAGCAGCCAGGUGGUGAAGCGAUGAGAGGUGUGUGUAUGAGACGCCUAUUUCAUAAGAAUGGCAUGAAAAAAAGGGAGAGGAAUGGGAUCAGACCUCUAGGGUCAAAUGACUAUGAGUGGUGACAGUAUCAGCUUCCAUUUACUGGAUUUCUUCAGACAACUCUGAGCGUAUUUCAUUACAUCCUUGCAGUUAACUCUUCAGAAUGUAUUUUACUAAUUGCAUUUUACAAAUGAGGAAAGUAAGGCUACAAACGUUUAAUUUAUUUAAGUCUUUGAGCUAAUAAUAUUAGAAUCAAGUUGUUUGUGAUUUUCCCAUUACUCCACUCCUCAGCCUGUGGUUACUACCAAUUUACUCUCUGGGACUCGGACUUUUUAGCUUCCACAUAUGCAUGAAAUCUUCUAGUAGUUAUCCUAUGCCUGGAUUAUUACACUUAACAUAAUAUAAUCAAGGCCCAUUCAUUUGCUGCAGGACUUCCUUUACAUAUAUUAUGAAGAAAAUAAUGAUAUAUAUGUAUACAUUAUACAUAAAUGUGAUAAAUAUCCAUUAUACAUAUGUGAUUUAUAUCCAUUAAAUAUAUAUACAUAUAAAUCCAUUCAUAUGUUGAUGAACACUUAGAAUUAUUCCAUAGCUUGGCUAUUGUAAAUAAUUCAUCAAUGAACAAGGGAGUACAGAUAGUUCUAUGGUUCUUUUACAUAGUAAUAUCACAUCCUUUGGAUAUAUAUAACUGGUAGUGCAAUGUAGUUCUAUUUCUCAUUUUUUAAAAGAUUAAUUUAUUUUUUGGAAGUCACAAUUACAGAGAGAGAGGGAGAGACAGAGGGAAAGAGGUCUUCCAUCCACUGUGUCACUCCACAAGUGGUCACAAUAGCCAGGGCUGACCCAGGAAGAAGCCAGGAGCCAGGAGCUUCAUCUGGGUUUCCCAGGUGGAUGGCAGAGACCCAAGUACUUUUGCCAUCUUCUCCUGAUUUUCCUAGCAAGGAACUGGGUCAGAAGUGGAGCAGUGAGGGCAUGAAACAGCACCCAUAAUGGUGCUGACAUCACAAGCAGCUAUGCCACAGUGCUACCCCCCACACCCUUUUGAGGAACCUACAUACUUUUUUUCUCAAUAGCUGUGUUAAUUUACAUUCCUACCAACAUCCUCACCAACAGUUGUAACCUCUGCCAUAUUGUUAGAAGCCUUCCAACAGGUGUCAAGUGAUAGCUCAUUGAUGUUUUAAUUUGCAUUUCCCUGAUGAUUAGUGAUAUUAAAUGUUCUUUUUUAAUGUAACUAUUAGCCAUUUGUGUGUCUUCUUUUGAGAAAUGUCUAUUUAGGUCUCUUACCCAUUUUUUUAAAUCAGAUUAUUUUCUUCUGACUCUUGAGUUCCAUAUAUAUAUUUUGGAUAUUAACCCCAUAUGAGAUAUGUGAAUUGUAACUAUAUUCUAUAGCUGCAUUUUUGUACCAGAGAUUGUUUCAUUUGUUUUUUCUUAAUUCUGGUGAUUGUGCAGAAUCAUUUAGGUUGAUGUAACCCUAUUUGUCUAUUUUUACAGAGCCAAGAUUUGUCUCAGGCCUGUGUCUUUUCCAGAGCUCAUAAACUGACAACAGAAGCCUGACAUGGUCAGGUGGCGAGAAAGACACAGCUGCGAGCCAACACCAAUGACCAAACUGCUGUGAGUGAGGCCGUCUUAAAACAUGCAAUCCCAGUCCAGUCACCAGAUGACGAUACCCCAUGAAUGGUGAGAGGCAAGACCAGCAGAAGAACUGCCCACCUGGACCAGUACAAUUUGCUGAACCAGAAUUGUCAGCAGCUCAGUUGAAGUUCUGCCUUCAGAAUGAAGUCUUCUCUGAACGUUCCAGUACAGAAGACCUAUUUUCUUCCCUCAUCAGCAUUUUCAAAGAUUAAACUAAGCAUUUGAAUGAAAUUAAAUAAUAAAAUAUAGUUUCCAUGUUA